UCAACAUUUUUUUCUCCCUGGGCAGAUGAAGCGGAAGUCUGGAGGGAUGGGCAGAAGAUCAGGCUCAGAGUCCCUUUCAGAUGCCUAGGCAGCCUGGCCAGCUCCAAACCUGCGGCUCCCCUUGCUCAGCCCUCCAAUGCCCAGGCUCUUGUGAAGGAGUGUGAGGUCAAGAGGGCGCCCGCCAGAUGGAAUCCCAGGUCAUGUUAGAUUGACAGCAUCUUCUGGACACAGAGCCCCACAGCAGUUCACAACUGGGGAUGUGCGCAGCACAGGACAAGGUACCUCUGAGUCCCAUGAGAUGGGCAGUGGGUGCAGCAGGAGAAGACCAGGGUUUUGGCUUGUCCUCAGCUCCACCCCUGAGUACCUACCAGGCCUCCAUGACCACCCUGACCCUCAGUGUCUUCAUCUGAAACAUGCAAGUGUUGGCCUCUUCCUUGGUGGGGAUAUUCUGCUUGGAAUCCUACUGUAAAUACUCAUACGCUCUUUUCCUUCAGGAAGGACACUUCCACCUUCAGACUAUUAAUUAGGCACCUGGAAACAGACCCUGGGACGCUGUUAUUUGUGGUUCUCAUUACUGUGGUCGCCUCAAUUAAUCAAGCCACAUAUGCCUGCUCUUGUACACCACACAAAAAUGUACCGACAUUGUAGCAACCAGGCUUCCUAACUGCAAGCAACCGAAAGCCACUGUGGCGGUUUUGAGCAGAAAGGAAAUUUAUCAAAAAGCUCUCAUUUAAUUUAUGGAAUCACAGGAAAUUCUCCUCUCCCUAAAAGGCAGGGUGAACCUUAUUAAAAUUAGUUGAGAAGCACACUUAGCACGGUGCUUUGCAGUAAGUGCUCAAUAAAUGUUCUAAUAAUCAUACAAGCACAUCUUACCAUGUGACACCUUUACCCGAAACCCUUUUAUAGCUCCAGGUGUCCACCAGAGCAAUCGUGGCCUCUGGGCUCUAACCUCCGUGGGUGGGGUGGGUAGAGGCUCUGAAUCUGAACAGCAUCCACGGGCCCACAGGGUUGGCUGCAGCCCAGCGCACUCCGCCCCUUUGGGCCCUAGGAACUUGAAACCGCUGCUCUGAUUGGCUGGCUCCCAGGACCUUGGUUGGGUCCUGUUCUCUGGUAGGCAGGAGGUGAAAGGUGCCCUUCCUCCCUGUUCUUCUCUGUGUACCACCUGCCCAGUCACCUGAGCCCAGCUUGCUCUCUCUUUCCCUCUCUCCCUCCACCCAGGUCCGCCCUUG